rnacentral:sRNA from 1 species
GCUGGGUGUGGUGGUGUACUUCUGUAAUCCCAGCUACUUGGGAGGCUGAGGCAGGAGAAUCGCUUGAACCCAGGAGGCAGAGGUUGCAGUGAGCCGAGUUUGUGCCACUGCACUCCAGCCUGGGUGACAAAGUGAGACUCUGCCUCAA